rnacentral:rRNA from 1 species
UACGUAGGGACCAAGCGUUGUUCGGAUUUAUUGGGUUUAAAGGGUGCGUAGGUGGACUAAUAAGUCAGUGGUGAAAGCCCGCAGCUUAACUGCGGAACUGCCAUUGAUACUGUUAGUCUUGAGUACAGUUGAGGUGGGCGGAAUGUGUCAUGUAGCGGUGAAAUGCUUAGAUAUGACACAGAACACCGAUUGCGAAGGCAGCUCACUAAGCUGUAACUGACACUGAGGCACGAAAGUGUGGGUAGCAAACAGG